UGGGGAAUAUUGCACAAUGGGGGAAACCCUGAUGCAGCGACGCCGCGUGAGCGAAGAAGGUUUUCGAAUCGUAAAGCUCUGUCCUAUGAGAAGAUAAUGACGGUAUCAUAGGAGGAAGCCCCGGCUAAAUACGUGCCAGCAGCCGCGGUAAUACGUAUGGGGCGAGCGUUGUCCGGAAUUAUUGGGUUUAAAGGGAGCGUAGGCCGCGUUUUAAGCGUGUUGUGAAAUGUAGACGCCCAACGUCUGCAUCGCAGCGCGAACUGGGACGCUUGAGUACGCGCAACGUUGGCGGAAUUCGUCGUGUAGCGGUGAAAUGCCUAGAUAUGACGAGGAACUCCGAUUGCGAAGGCAGCUGACGGGAGCGGCACUGACGCUUAAGCUCGAAGGUGCGGGUAUCAAACAGG
rnacentral:rRNA from 1 species